rnacentral:piRNA from 3 species
UUUUUGGAACUAGGAGUUGGAAUAG